UACGUAGGGUGCAAGCGUUGUCCGGAAUUAUUGGGCGUAAAGAGCUCGUAGGCGGUUUGUCGCGUCUGCUGUGAAAACCCGAGGCUCAACCUCGGGCCUGCAGUGGGUACGGGCAAACUAGAGUGCGGUAGGGGAGAUCGGAAUUCCUGGUGUAGCGGUGGAAUGCGCAGAUAUCAGGAGGAACACCGGUGGCGAAGGCGGAUCUCUGGGCCAUAACUGACGCUGAGGAGCGAAAGCAUGGGGAGCGAACAGG
rnacentral:rRNA from 1 species